GGGCGGGACCGGCGCGGCGGAAACCCCCGAACCCCGUCAGGUCCGAGAGGAAGCAGCGGUAAGGAGGCCAUUCCGGGCGCCGCCGGGCAACCUGCCUGGG
rnacentral:SRP_RNA from 1 species